GCUCAGUAUAAAUCAACGCAGUCAGUACAGCUUUGCUUCUUUCAAUAAGGCUCAUGUUGGUUAACUUGCCAUGUCCGCCUCACAGUCAUUAACCACCCCAAGUCAUACUCCUCAUCCCAGCCCUAUUCCUUCACACACGCUUUAACAUUUCCUCACUCAUCUCAGCCACAUAUUCUGUAUCAUCCAGUUUAAUGUCCUCCAUCACUCAGCUGUGCUUUCUCAUCCACCCUAAU